CCAAUCGAACCCGGAGAUAGCUGGUUCUCCUCGAAAUAGCUUUAGGGCUAGCCUCAUAUAAGUCUUGCGGAGGUAGAGCACUGAAUUUCCUAGGGGGCGUCAAAGCUUACCGAAGAAUAUCAAACUCCGAAUGCCGUGUAGAUGUUGUAUGGGAGUCAGACUGUACGAGAUAAGUUGGACAGUCAAAAGGGAAAGAGCCCAGACCGCCGGCUAAGGUCCCAAAGUGGGUGUUAAGUGGAAAAGGAUGUGGGAUCUCUAAGACAACCAGGAUGUUGGCUCAGAAGCAGCCAUUCAUUAAAAGAGUGCGUAACAGCUCACUGGUCGAGAGGUCCUGCGCCGAAAAUGUCCGGGGCUGAAACACCACACCGAAGCCGCGGAACCCGUAAGGGUUGGUAGAGGAGCAUUCUUAGGGGAGCGAAGCAUUACCGGAAGGGGAUGUGGACCGCUAAGAAGAGAGAAUGCCGGAAUGAGUAGCGAGAGCAAGGUGGGAAUCCUUGCGGCCGAAUAUCCAAGGUUUCCAGAGUAAAGCUGAUCUGCUCUGGGUAAGUCGGGGCCUAAGGAGAGGCAGAGAUGCGUAUCCGAUGGACAGCAGGUUUAAGAUUCCUGCACCCCUUGUUAUCAGAACUGCGGGGACACGGGAAGGGAAGCAGAGCCGGGAAUGGAAAGCCCGGUGCAAGCGAAGGAGUCGCAGGGUUGGAAAAUCCGCCCUGCAUAAGACGAAGGCGUGAUGCGGAGCGAAAUGAAGUAGUGAAGCUGCGGCCCCUUCCUGUCGAGAAAAGCCGCUAUCGUGUAGCAAGGGCCCGUACCGUAAACCGACACAGGUGGAUGAGGAGAGGAUCCUAAGGCCGGCGGGAGAAGUGUUGUUAAGGAACUCGGCAAAAUGACUCCGUAACUUCGGGAGAAGGAGUGCCACAGAGAUGUGGCCGCAGAGAAAUGGCCCAAGCAACUGUUUAGCAAAAACACAGGUCUAUGCAAAACCGAAAGGUGAGGUAUAUGGGCUGACGCCUGCCCGGUGCUGGAAGGUUAAGGGGAGAGGUUAGCGCAAGCGAAGCUUUGAACUUAAGCCCCAGUAAACGGCGGCCGUAACUAUAACGGUCCUAAGGUAGCGAAAUUCCUUGUCGGGUAAGUUCCGACCCGCACGAAAGGCGUAAUGAUUUGGGCACUGUCUCAACAAUGCACCCGGUGAAAUUGAAAUACCAGUGAAGAUGCUGGUUACCUGCGCCAGGACGGAAAGACCCCAUGGAGCUUUACUCCAGCUUGAUACUGGGAUUCGGUAUUGCAUGUACAGGAUAGGUGGGAGGCUAGGAAGUGAUAACGCCAGUUGUCACGGAGCCGCUGUUGGGAUACCACCCUUGCAGUAUUGGAUUUCUAACCAGCGACCAUGAACUGGUCGGGGGACAAUGUCAGGUGGGGAGUUUGACUGGGGCGGUCGCCUCCGAAAGGGUAUCGGAGGCGCUCAAAGGUUCCCUCAGAAUGGUUGGAAACCAUUCGAAGAGUGCAAAGGCAGAAGGG
rnacentral:rRNA from 1 species